GAUGAACGCUGGCGGCGUGCCUAAUACAUGCAAGUCGAGCGAACAGACGAGGAGCUUGCUCCUCUGACGUUAGCGGCGAACGGGUGAGUAACACGUGGAUAACCUACCUAUAAGACUGGGAUAACUUCGGGAAACCGGAGCUAAUACCGGAUAAUAUAUUGAACCGCAUGGUUCAAUAGUGAAAGACGGUUUUGCUGUCACUUAUAGAUGGAUCCGCGCCGCAUUAGCUAGUUGGUAAGGUAACGGCUUACCAAGGCAACGAUGCGUAGCCGACCUGAGAGGGUGAUCGGCCACACUGGAACUGAGACACGGUCCAGACUCCUACGGGAGGCAGCAGUAGGGAAUCUUCCGCAAUGGGCGAAAGCCUGACGGAGCAACGCCGCGUGAAUGAUGAAGGUCUUCGGAUCGUAAAACUCUGUUAUUAGGGAAGAACAAAUGUGUAAGUAACUAUGCACGUCUUGACGGUACCUAAUCAGAAAGCCACGGCUAACUACGUG
rnacentral:rRNA from 1 species